rnacentral:rRNA from 1 species
UACGAAGGGGGCUAGCGUUGUUCGGAUUUACUGGGCGUAAAGCGCACGUAGGCGGGUCGUUAAGUCAGAGGUGAAAUCCCGGAGCUCAACUCCGGAACUGCCUUUGAUACUGGCGACCUUGAGGCUGGAAGAGGUUAGUGGAAUUCCCAGUGUAGAGGUGAAAUUCGUAGAUAUUGGGAAGAACACCAGUGGCGAAGGCGGCUAACUGGUCCAGAUCUGACGCUGAGG